ACCCACUCACAAAUCUAACCCAGCGACAAGAAACCCUUCAGAAUUUCUCUACAGUCACAAAAAAUGGCACCACCAAUAACCCAUUAGCCCAAGAGAACAACGACAUUGAUACCAGGGUCCCACCUAGUUCUAACAUAGUACUAAACAACGACGAGAAUGUUUCUUGUGCUCAGAAUUAUUCAGAUGGAGUUUUGGAGAAUUUAGCCUCAGGAAGGAAUGGAUCAGAUGGUAGUCUGAAGUGGGUGUCGACUGCAUUGGAGCCAAACGUCACGGAAAACCUUCUUUCAAGGUGGCUAGCUCCUGAAGGGGAGCCUUGUAGAGGGUCACGUACGGUGGAGAUUGUGAUUCCUGGAUUGGAUGGUAAAGAUUUGAUUGAGUUAACAGCUGGUGAUAGUCAUGAAUUUGGUUUUCAAGCUCUGGAUGAGUCCAAGAAUCUUGUUUGUUCAGGUGGCGAUUAUUUCGAGACUGAUCUUUCAGGGGAGGCAUGGAAAUCAAGGCCUUUAGUCAGGGAUUUUGGAAAUGGGUCUUACUCUAUUUUGCUUCAAGUUCAUCCUGAUUUUUCUGGUGAUUAUAAUCUUACUCUUAUUUUACUCUUUAGGCAUUUUCAAGGUCUUAAAUAUUUUCCACAGAGAGUUGCUUUUGAUAAACAAUUGCGUAAGUUUCGAAUCAAGUUUGUUAAGGGUGGUGCUCAGUUGCCAAAGAUUGAAACUUGUGAAAAAUCUGAUUUCAAUAGAGAUCUUUGGCUAGGAAGGUGGACUAGGCAGGCUAAAAAUGGUGGUUGCCAAAUCAGUAAUGAUGGCCGGUACCGCUGUCUGGCGCCAGAUUUUCCAUGCCAAAGUCCUUGGUGUAGUGGUUCUUUAGGGUUGUUAGAGAGUAAUGGCUGGGUGUAUUCAAGCCACUGUUCAUUUAGGCUUUUCUCAGCUGAUUCUGCUUGGAAUUGCUUGAAGAAUCGCUGGAUUUUCUUUUGGGGUGAUUCAAAUCAUGUUGAUACUAUAAGAAACAUGCUCAAUUUUGUGUUGGAUUUGCCCCAAAUACCAUCAGUUCCUAGACGGUUUGAUAUGAACUUUUCAAACCCGAAAGAUGCAUCUCAAAGUGUUAGAAUUACUAGCAUUUUCAAUGGUCAUUGGAAUGAGACAAUGAAUUAUGAAGGAUUUAAUUCCUUGAUGGAUGAAGGAUUUAGGAAUCUGUUGAAGAAGUACUUCUCAGAGGACACAGUGCCAGACACUAUAAUCAUGAAUUCAGGUUUGCAUGAUGGCGUGCAUUGGCAUAGUUUUAGAGCAUAUUCAGAGGGAGCAGGGUAUGCAGCAUCAUUCUGGAAAGAAGUCAUGGAUUCGGUGAAGCAGAGAGGGUUGGCAGUUCCACAGAUCUUUUACCGGACAACAAUAGCCACUGGUGGGUAUGCAAGAUCACUAGCAUUUAAUCCGAACAAGAUGGAGGUAUUUAAUUGGGUUGCAUUAGAUAAAUUUAGGCGAGCUGGGUUGGUUUCUGGUGUGAUAGAUAACUUUGAUAUGACUUUUCCAUGGCAUUUUGACAAUCGGUGCAGUGAUGGGGUACAUUAUGGCAGAGCUCCAGCUAAGAUGAAGUGGAGGGAUGGUGAAAUCGGCCACCAGUAUUUUGUGGACCUCAUGCUGGCUCAUGUGCUGCUCAAUGCUCUGUGUUCAAGGUAGCAAGUGAAGGAGGCGGUUGAUUUAUUCUCUUGGCUGUCUAUCAACAACGAGGAGCACCUGUUGCCAGCUUCGCGGAACUAGCACAUGUUGGCUCACGAUGCUCUUUCUUGGUUAGGAUUGGCAUUCUUUAUUUGUUUGUAGAUGAUGUAUAUAAUGAGAGGUCAUAAAAUUUUCGAAACACAAUAACUACAGCAUCUAUUAUCUUGUUCUAUUGUAAUUAUUACAUAGAUUUGGCUGGAAUUCAGUGUUCGUUUUUGAAGUUCAAUCACAUUGCAUUGUUGUAAUCUGAAGUAUAAAUCAAUUAAAAAAAAAUACAAAACUCAAUUUUCAAUCAACUAAAUAUAAAAGGAUAAAAUUAAAAAACAAAUCAAUUAACACAUAGGAAAAAAAAACACCAGCAAACCCAAGUAAGCUCACCAAAACCCGCUUGAUUCUCAAACUAAACCAAGAUAACCCAAUACAAGGUAAAAAAAAAAUGUAGUUUGAUUCUCAAACUAAACCAAUUCUUAAUAGGGAAAAUUAAAAAAAAAACCAACCUAAAAAAAGACCUGAGUCAACUCAUCAAACCCUCAAUUAUAUUGGCAUAAAUCAUUGCGAUCUUUAUUUCCUUAUAAUACUCAUCCACUUACUUAGAACCGUGAUGCAGACUUUGUAAUUUUAAAUACAAAUCCCUAUAAUAAUGGUUAUGCACAAAUCGCCUCCUCAUCAACAUUUUGAUCUACUCUCACAACACUAUUGGCCUUUCUCCAUUCCUUCUCUUACCAAUCAUAUUCUGAUCCCACCAAAUCAAUGCAUAUUCUGUAAAUUCAAUGACUACCAUUUCACCUUCCUCGCCUCCAAAUAGCUUCGAUAAUAAAAAAUUCAAUCCAUCUUUUUUUCGCACUCCAAAUACAUAUGAGAUCAUUUUUACCUUGAAAACUGGGUAUUUUCAUCUUAAUAUCAUCCAAAUCACCAUCUACACCAUCAUAUCCAUCAAAGUUAUGGAAUUUCUCUUCUAGCUAAAUUGACCCCUAGUUCUAUUCCUAAAAUCCCUUUGGUUUGUAGGUUUUCGAAAACCUCCCCUAUGGCCUAUGAUCUCAUCCUUAAAACUUACAUUACCAAAAUCAUCAACGUCCUUCUUAAAAUCCACAUAAUCAACCCAUAUUGGCCUUUCGACCAUAAUUUCAUUGUUCGAUUUUGGAUCAGCUCCAACCUUCCUCACAUAUUGGGUAUUAUACCAAUUUCAUUGCCAUAUCUCUCCACCUUCUUAAGUCUAUCACACACGUUCCUCAUCACAAAAUUCACCCUCUCCAUCAUCUUUGUCAAGGCUUGAAUUUGAAACUUUACAUCACCCUCAGGAUGGGGUGGUGUGUUAUUCUAAGCUGACAUUAUUAUACCUGCAAAAAAUUGGUUAGUGAUAUAAAAAAAUUCCUCACGUCGCUCGUGUUUCACUCAAAAUUAGACUUUUCACGCCUUUUACCUCACAACUUGCUUUCUUUCAGUUCUUUCGAAACUGAAAAUCCAACCAAUCAAAGUUAGAUGCUUUUGCAACGCAUUCAAAUUAUGAAUAUAGCCUUAAAAAUUAAUAAAUAUACUAACAAGCAAAGCAAAACAAAACGACGAUUAUAAUUUUGCGAGUAGUAGUCCAAAUUCAUGCGAAUUGUGGACGAAAUGAAGACGCGAAAGAAAACAGAAAUGAAAAUUAAUGAAGACACUUAUUUGACUCCUAAAUAACCCUAAUAUAACAUAAACAAACUGAUUUUGUCAAAAUAAUUCGUAGACAAACAUGUUUUGGAACUUGAUGUAAAUUUGACCUAUUACGUAAUUUUUAAGCACCAGAAUUGAAAAAAAACUAAGAAUAUCAAAAUGACCUUAAAUUAAAUAUGUAGUAUCCCGGUACCCAACAAACUAUAUAUAUCAGUUUAUAGUUUGUUAUCUUAUAUCUAGGUAACAAAACCUGUGUAUGAUGAGUUUGCGGCAAAAUUAAACCCAAAUUAAAACCUCAAGAAAAAGAUAUCAAAAUAAUCCCAAAUUUAAUAUAUAGUGUGAUUUCACCCCUAGUAGUAAAUAUAUGAAAUUUCAAUUAAUUAUGAGGUGUUUUGUUUAGGGUUCUUUAAGAGUUGUGUUUUUGCGUCAGAAUUGUAACAAACUUUGAAUAACGUCUCUUUCUUCUUCUUUUUUGAAUUUUAUGCUACUGAUAUGUUAGAGAUAAUAACAAAACAAAAUAUUGAUUUUUUUUAAUAUUAUGCCGCAGACAUGGAGAAAAAAAAAAGAUUGACGCAAACACCGAAAACUUAACGAACACUAGGAAAACAAAAUUUUCAAAAAGAUAUGACAUGUUCUCAUAGCCUAGCUCUGAUACCAAAUGAUGCAAACCUCAUGAUCAUGUGGUCAUGAAACCCAUAAUUAAUAUUAAGAUCUGAUCCUGGAAAGCCGAAAGAGAUCUAAUAGGAGUGUGACACAAUGGAAACAUGUCCUAAGGCACUAACAUUAUUGGAAUGAAGUUUAAUGAUGUAACGAAGCCAGAUAAUCUUUGAUAAGUCAGAUUCAGUUUGUUCAAGAACCAAAGAAUGCAAUAAGCUCUCUCAUACAUUAAAAUUGAAAAGUUUAGAAGUAUUAUUCAUCAAUGGUCACCAAAAUUUAAGCUUACAUAUGUUUAAAUAGUUCUGAAAAAUUAACUCUAAUGGAUCUACCCUUGUGGGCUGAAUUGACCCAUAUACAAAAACUAACCUAAAACAUGUACUAGUAAGCUCAAACCAUGAUCCAAACAAGCCUUGAAUCCUAACUAAAAAUAAAGUAUUAAUUAAGCCUAAACAAGCCUUGGGUUGGAGCUAACAAAAAAAAAAAAAAGUACAUAAAUGAUAAGUCUUUAUCUACCAUGAGAAGAGAAGAAGAAAAGAAAACAUUGUUGAUCUGAUACAAGACUUAUUUAUAACCUAUAAUGUUGCCCAAUAAUCCAAAGAACUAAAGGAGAAGUUGUUGCCCCUUUGGUUUCCAAGUUAGAAUAGGAAUCUGAUCUCAACCUUGUAUUUAUCCUUCUUUUGAAAGGAAAAGGAUGUUGCCUUUAAUGCUCUUCUUAGUAUCCUUCUAAUAUUAGAAAACACAAUUAAAUUGCUAAAUUAUUCUCCUUGCACAACAAGGAGACUAUGUCAGCCAUGUGUUUCUUAAGUCAGAUUGGAUUCCUUUGUUUCCUCUACUGUGUUUUCUCCUCACUUGACAAGAAAAUAAAAUAAAAAUAAUAAAUUCUACUAUUUAAAAGAAAUAACCAAUGUUCCCAAACAUAAUAGGAAAUCCAAUACUAGUUAGGACUCCACAAAACACAUGGAAACAUCAUAUAACAAGGCUAGCCGAAACUGAUAAAAAUUGGCAGCCUUGUUAUCAAAAUUUCAUGGCCCAAAUAAGGGUGGAUUGGACCCCUCUUACACAUGGAUUAAAUGUACUAAGGUCUCCUCUUGAUGCUCGAAAAGAUCCUUAAGUUCAGCUUUGGCCGAAACUUGCACAACCAGUUCAUUCAAUGACUUCGCUUUGAACCUUCUGAUGGGCCCAUUUGGAACAUGUAAUGAGUCCAUACUGUUCGCAGGCUGAUCCACAUCACUAUUUUAUUUAGAAUUAUGAUUUAUAUGUGGGCCAAUAUAUUAAGGAGCUCAGUAGGUUAUACAUAUAAGAUUUAUUGGUCAGAAACUAAAUUAGAAUAAUUAAUCAAUUGUGACUUGAUUGUAUAUAAGUUUUAGAAAUUAAGAAUUAGAAUGCAAUUAAUAUAUGGUAUCACAAUUCUAGACCUCAAAAAAUCAAGUAGGGACUUGAUUUAAUAAGUUUUUAAAACUAUCCUAAAAUAAUAUAUGUAAUAUUAUUUAGGGGGCAAAUUGAUAAUUCGUUAUUUAUAGGGUUGAUACAUUUUUUCUAUAAAUAGAAUGUUAUGCCUUAUAUCUUAUGAGAGAAGUAUGUUAUAGAACAUACAAUAUUAGCGGUACAAAUGUUACAAAAUAUAUAGUACAAAGAAACAUAUAAAAUAGAAAAAGAAAGAAUUAGCACUCAAAGACAUAGAAAUAUCUCUCUCCUAAAAAGGGUUUUAGUAAAUUUCUCGUUAGUAAUUUGUAUGAAUUACUAUUACAGAUAGGAUAUUUGGAUGACUUAUGGUUUGUUACAACCUAGCCUUAAAUAAGUUGAUCAAACCUCAAAAAGAAGAUAUAAUUUUCAGGUAAUCUUUGUAUAAACAUUAAACGAUCUAAAUUGUCUAACGGGAUCCUAGGAUCUUCCAAAGAAUAUUUUAAAUUACUGUUUUCACUACGUCUAAGAGUUUUGGAAACCCAACACCUUACAACUCAAUUAGCAUCCAUUCCCCUAAGUCUUUUUGUUAUAAAGAAAAAGAGACUUUAGGAUUUGAAUUCAUUCAAAGAAAAAAAAAUGGCAUGUCCUUUGUUUUAUAUUUCUCUUCACUUUUGUUAAAGAUGUUUUUGGCAAUUUAAUAUAAAUUUAAAUUCAAAGGAGUGGGUUUCCAACCACUGUAGCAUACAUUUGAUGAGUACUUAUCUAAUAAAAAUGGCUUUUUUUUCCCUUUUCUCCUCUAUAGAUACUAGUUAAAGUUUAUUUAGAAUAUGCCUAGUUUGAUUCCUUAUCCUAUUAGAGUAUAUCAAUUUUUUAACGCAAAAAGACUUGGGAAUUAUUAACGUUUUUUUUCUAUCAUUAAGAAAAAUUCUAACUGCAAACUAAAAAGUUGAUAUAUACGUUCAUUUAAAUAAAUCAAGAAUUAUAUAUUCUAAUAAAUAAUAAUAAAUCUGUUGAUUUCAAUAGAAGAUUGAGUUGAGAAUUUGAGAUCAUGUAUAUUAAGAUAUCUGAUCUCAUGUUACAGGGAGUUUUUUAAUUGUUUUUUUAGAACAUAGAUAAUUUAAACUUCAUUGAAAAAACCAAUUCUAGCAUAAUUCUUGUUUUUCUUAUUAAUAUAUGUUUUCAAUAAAAAAAAUAUAUAUCUUUUUUUGUCAUGGAUUCUUAAUUUGAUAAAAAAAAAUAAAAAAAUAGAAUAAAUUUUUUUAUUUUUUCCUCAUUCAAUAUGAAUGAGCACAUUAUUAUCAAGAUUCUGCAUAUCAUUCUAAUACAUAAUUAUCCAUAAAGCAAUCGAUAAUAUUAUUGUAAAAAGAAUUUAUUCUUCUUCAAAAUAACAAUAUGUUCCUUCAUAUCAUAGUUAGUAGACUUGAGUUAGGUACACAUGACCUCACCAAGAUCCAUUGAAUGUGAGUGGUGGCCUUUAAACUUAUUUCAUAACAUAACCAAAUGAUAUAGUUCAAAGCCUGAAUUAUAAUAUAUCAUCUUUUCAUGUUCAACACCUGUAUUCUAAGUGUCAGUAUUAGGCUUGUUAGUGGGCCAUAUUUCAAAUCAAUGUCCUAAGUCAUAGUAGUUAUUUUCACCUUCAAUAAGCAAACACUCAUAUAUUAGUUUAUGCAUACCUUUAGCAUACAAGCACAAUAAACAUCUUUUAUCAUUAAAAACAAACACGAAAUAACUUAUCUUAGAUAAGAUGUUUUAUGGUGAUUUUCAUCUUUUCUUUAGCAUAACCAACUCCUUACCUAAAACCUGUAAAACACUAGUUAGGGUUUAUAGUUACCACAAAACUAGAUGAUGACUUCUUUUUUUUUCUUUUACUAUUUUUAUAUAUAGUUCUUUGAAAUAUCCGUUAUAACAUGAUUCACACAAUUCAAUAAUAAAUAUCAAUUUAAAAUUAAUUUGUACAUCAAACAAUUUUUUUUCUAUUUAUAUUCAAAUAAAUUUUAUAAAUUCCAUUCAAAUAUCUACUAACAUAUUAUAAAAUAGACUUAGCUAUAAUAGCUAGCCAUUGUGUUUUUUCCCAUAUCAUUGUCACUAGUUAAAUAGCUCUUUAUUCUAGCAAAAUGAAUAGUGCUUGCUAUAUGUAGCAAUAAAAAAAAAAAGUGAGUUGGUCGCAAGAAAAAAAAGUUGGGUUUAGAUUUUGAUCUGGAGAUGGAGAAUCUACUAGAAUUGAGUCUUGAUCUUUUUUCUUUUUAGGUGAUUUUGUUGUUGGAAAAUCCAAUCUUUUGUCAAGAUUUCCAAAAAAAAAAUGUAUUCAAUUUGGAAUCCAGAUUCACCAUUGGUUUUGAAUUUGCCACUUGUAAUUGUUAAGGCUUAGAUCUGGAGCACUACUAGCCAAGAAAGGUCUAAUAUUUUCUUUCUUUCUUUCUUUCUUUAUCUAAAUCAUGGAUAUUUCUAGUAUUUUUAAUAUGGUUUUUUUCUUGUUUUUUGAAAUUUGCAUUUAGGUCUAUCAAAUUUUGAUAAGAUAACCGAAUUUUAUUGGGUUUAAUUCCUUCAUUCAUUUUGGUUUGGUGUAGUAAUUUCUUAUUCAGGAUCUGCAAUUAAUGUUUUAAGCUUUUAUAAAGGAAUUUUAAAGAAGUUUGUGAGAUUAUAUGGAAAAUAUCUAUUAAAUAAGGCACUCUUUGAGCUCUCUAAUGGUAAAAAUAUGGUUACAAAAUGGUUGGAAAGAAUUUGAUGAGCAUUACUCAUUAACCCUCAGGUCCCUGCUGGUUUUUUAAUAUAAAAAUAAUUGUCAUUUUCUUGUUCUUAUAUUGGACAAGACUACUAUGGAAAUAGACUAUUCAUUUGGCAUCUCUACUGUGUUUCUUUUGAAGAAUUUAUCAACCAAGCUUGUGAUUAUGAAUAUUUACAUCAUUUCUAAUUGAAGAAUCAUGUUUUUCUCUUAUAUUUUACUUGUCAUCAUUAUAUAAGAAAUUUGUUUUCCUUUAUUGUUAGUGAUUCAUGGGAUUUGUUGCUAGAGCAAUUCACAAUCUAUUGUAUUGAUUAAUUUCCUCUUUGGUUAAGUAGAUAGCAUAAUAAGUUAUGUAAAUAAAUUCUUGCGUGUUGAACUUUCUAGAACGAAGUGGUUCGGUGGUUAGAACAUAACAUUUGAAAUGCCUAACAUGCAUGCCUAUACUUGAAAAUUAACUUAUCUCUCUUCUAUCUAGUUUAAGGAUUCCAGAAUGAUAUCUCUCAACAUGUAGCAAUAAAUUGCAAAGUUGUCACAUUUAAAGAUUUUUCACCACUUGUAAUUUCACCAUUUAAUAUAAAUGAUAUAAUUUGUACCCAAUUCAAAUUCUUUUAUAAUUUUUUUUUAUAUUAGAAAUCUACACUUUCAAGUAUAUUUGCUUUAUUUCAAUUUCUUUCUCAAUCCCAAUCACUUAAAAAACUCUCAUUGGAAUCUCAAUGUGAUAACCAUUUCAUUAAUCUCAUGUAUGAAGGGUACGACCAGAAGACACAGUUUUCACAAGAAAGUUAUGAUCUAGCCCACUCAAUAUUUUAAUCAAUUUGUUAUGUCAUCUCAAGAUCCAUGUGAAAAUUCACUUACAACUAAAGAGAUAAAACAAUCGAGCAACUUUAAGGAUGAAGAAGAUAUUUGCCUUAUAGAUGCAUGAAUCAACACUAGCAUGGAUCUAAUAUGUGAAAAUGAAUAAAAAAAAGUAAGGCAUAUCGGAAAAAAAUAUUCACGAUAACUACAACAAAAACAAGAAGUUUGUAUAUGAUCGUACAUCAAGUUCUCUAAUGCAUCAUUGGUCAACCAUUCAAUUAGUGGUGAAUAGUUUUUGUUCGCAAUAUGCAUAAAUAAAAAAUAGAAACUAAAAUGAUUUCACCUAUGAAGACAAUGUAUUGUUUAUAUAAAAUUCAUAUAUUUAAAUUCAUUUAAAUAUUAAUUUUUUAAAGUAACACAUUCCAAUGUGCUUUAAUAUUAGGUUAAUGAAGUGAAGAUUGCCUAUAGGAGUGAUCAUUUUUUAUUCAGUUCGGUUUUUACGUAUAGCAACAACCAAAACAAAAUUUUGAAGAAAAAAAAAAACCAAAACCAAUUCCAACCGACCAGUUUUGGCUUGGUUCGGUUCUUUAUGUCAAAAACUAAAAAAACCUAUAUUGUUUAUUUGGGCUUUUUUUUACUUUCUAAUGGGCUUUCUGAUGGGCUUGUAAUUGAUGUUAAUAUUGUCUAAUUUUCUUUAAAAAUUUCAAAAUAUAUUUAAUUUUUUUUGCCAUUGAAUAUUCAUUUAUAUUAAAUUGUUAGUUUCAAUCUUGAGUUUAAUAUAUUUUUUGUCUUCCUAAUAUUUUUCUUCUGGUUUGUUUGAAUGAGCAGGACUCUUGUUGUAAAAGAGUUUAAAUAACACAUAUCAAUAAGUUAAAAUCCAAAUUACAAAGCAUUGCCUUUAAAGGGCUUAAAAAAAAACAAAUAACAUUGUAAUAAAACACUCAAAGCCAAAAAAAUAAAUCUUCAAUGUGCACAUCAUCUUAAUAAAAAAAAUAACAUGGAAUAGUUAAUACUAUUGACAUUAAAACUUGGAAUUCAAAAUCUUGAAUUAUAACAUGAUAAAUUAAAUUAGAAGAUAUAAAAAUAAAAUGUAGUAUUUUUAUCAUACAUUUUCAAUAAAUGUCUCGAUUUUUAAACUAAUUAUCAUCCAUUGCUAGAUGUAACUUUUCAUCCAAUUCUACAAAAUAAAAAAUUACACAUGUUAUAAUGAAAAUGCAUAAAUUAAUAAAUCAUAAAAUAAAAGGUGUGAGUUUAUAAUAAAAAUUACCUGAUUCAAGGUUUUCGUAGGUUUUAAAAUCAUUCACCAAGGAUCUAAUAUCGGUUGGAAUUGGUUCAUGAUGCAACCAAUUUUGACAACAAAUAAGUGCUUGAACUAUUAUUGGAGAUAGAGAACUUCAAAAUUAGUCAAGUAUGCGACCACCUGUGCUAAAGGAUGAUUCGAAAGUCACUGUGGAUAUAGGAAUAGCUAGAACAUGUUGUGCAACCUUCCAAAGUAUAUAAUAUUUUGAAGCAUUACUCUUCCACUAACCCAAAAUAUCUAAUUUAUCGUUAUUAGGAUCCUCGCAAUCAUCAACCAAAUACCUCUCAACCUCAUUUAUAUUUUCCACAUUAUUUUCCUCUUGUAAAUGCCUUUUGAAUCGAGCUAAAGUGUUAACAUCUACCUCCAUGUAUUCAAUAACAUCGUUAACAUCUUAUUUAUGCCUAUUAUCAUCCACCACUUUAUUGGCUUUCAAAUAAAACUCAUACAAGCUCACCAAAUUAUCUUUCAUAUUUUUUAUUAGUAACUGUAUUUUGUCAUAAUCAUACAACUCACCAAAACAAAAUUUUACAUAUUUCAACUUGAGAUGUGGAUCCAAAACAUUAGUCAUAUACAAUAAAAAAAUCUGAUUUACUUCACAACCCCAAUACUUCUCAAACUUUAACAUCAUGUUCAUCGCUAUUCCACUUAAAAAAUUAUCUCUACUUUUACACAAUUGCAACAAGUUUGUAUGCAUAUAAAUUAAUUCAUUGAAUAAAGAAUUUUAUGUGAUAUACAAUGAGCUAGAAAAUCUCAAUGUAACCAUGUAAAAGAUCUUUAAGAACUUCAAUAAAGUUCUAGCAUUUUUCUAAUCCUCCAAACUAGGUGGCCCUAUGUUUUUUUUUUAUCCUCCUUUGAAUCAACCUCCAAAAAGUAACUCAUAUAUCUAGGUUUACUUUCACCUAACCUCACAAACACGUUUUCAAACUUUCAGCAUCUUCUAACAUAAGAUAAGUUGAAUUUCAUCAAGUUGCAACAUUCAAACACAAUGAUUUCUUACACUCUAUCUGCAACUUUUCUGCACAGUUCUUAAAUGCAAGUUACCUAGAAGGUGAAGAUCUCACAAAUUUAAUUGUAUUUUGAAUCGUAACAACUGAAACAUUAAUCUCUUUCAAGCCAUCACACACAAUGAGAUUUAUAAUGUGUGCACAACAUCUAAUAUGCAAAUUUUUAUUUGACAAUAUAUUAGUUGGCCAAUCUUUCAUCACAUUCUUUAAAUAUGAAAUAGUCACAUUAUUAGAGCUUGUAUUGUAUACUAUAACCAGUGUUUUUAAACCCGACCCGACGAUUGACUCGACUCAAGACCCGGGUCACGGGUUUUGACCAGGUCACCGGGUCAUCCAGGUCAACCAUAAUUUUUUUAUAAAUCAAAAUGAUGUUGUUUUGGUUAAAAAAAAAAUAGUCAACGGGUUACAACAGGGUUUUUGACCGGGUCUUGCCGGAUCAACCGGGUUAUUAGGCCAACCCGCCGGGUCAGCCGAGUUUUUGACUUCCCUUAUUUUUUUCAUAAAUCCGGCCUGGUUCCUACCCUAGGUCAGCUGGGUCCUAGGUUGACCCACCGAGCUGGGCCGGGUUUUAAAAAUAUGACUGUAACAAUCAAAAGUUUAUCAAUCCCCCACUCUAACAAACAAUUCUCAAUAACUUAACCAAUUGUCCCGCUUAUAUGAUUGCAAACUUGACAAAAAUUAAGAAUUUUUUUAUGAAAAUUCCACUAAUUAUCAAUCUAAUAAGUUGUUAAGGACAUAUAGUUAAUGUUUUGGAUUGAUAUUCAUGUAUCUAUUGUUAAGCAUAAUCGUUGACCCCUAAAAGUUGUCCUUAAUCUUCUAUUCUCUUCAACAUAAAGUUUUAAACAAUCUCUCAUAAUAUUGAAACGAGAAGAAAUGUCAAAUCUAGGUUACACAAUCCUAGAAAAUAAUCUAAAUCACUUACCCUUCAUAAAAUUAAAGGGCAACUCAUCAAUUAUAACCAUUUGUACUAGUGCUUGUCUACAUUCAUCAUAAUUAUAACUUAUUACCUUAAGAGUUCCCACAUUCCGGUCUCCUGAUUCACCCUUCUCUUUCUUAGAUUCUAAUACCAAUUUUUUUUGCUUCUUAUCAACCAUAAAAUGAAACUUUUUGCGUACUUUUAAAUGACUCCACAUAUUACUUGUCCCAUUAAUAAUAGUAUGACAUGCAUAAUUCUUUUCACAAUAAUUACAUUCAGCUCUAGGGGUUUUAGGAUCAUUAUUAAGUUUUGUAAAGUGAUCCUAAAUUUGUGACUUUUUUCUAUCAUCAACAUUUCUUUUCCUUGAUGUAAGGACUUGAGGUUGUUUACCAUUGCUAUCUGUGGCGGAUCCUGCAGUGGUUGAUGUUGGGUUAGUGUUUGAAGUUGGGGUAUUGGUUGAUGUUGGGGUAGUGUUAGUGGAUGAAGCAUUUUGAUUUUGAAAGUUUUCCAUAUGUAAUUACCAAAUGAAAACAUGUUAACAUUUAUGCAUGUUGAAAUGUGCAAUACAACUUUUAAAAAAGGUUGAUAGACGGGAUAAAGUGAUGAAAAACAUAGCAUUUACCAAACAAAGAACUCAAAAGAAUAAUUAAUUGCAAUGCGAUGCAACAAUCAACAACUAUGGGUAAAAGAACCUAAAAAAUAGAUAAGCAUAGGAAAAAAUCAAUUAGAAACAAUCAAGAAAGAAAAUAAAAGACUAAAAAACAAAACUGAAAUAAAGACUGCAUAAACCAGAAGAAACAAUAGACAACCAACUGGACUUGAAGCACAUAAACAACAACGAAUCUCGACAACCUCACUUGGAAAAAUAGCAAAAAGCUUUUGAAAACAAUAAAAACAAAGAACCAAAGCACAACAUGGUAGUGGAACAGAACACAAAGCAUGAAAAAAAGGAUUUAAACGGCAAACUAAAGCAAAAAAAAAAAAAACCUAAUGCGUGAUGAACAUGUAAAGAGACAAAAGCAAACAAAUAAAUAAAAAGAGAGCAGCAAGACUAGAAAUAACACACCACAAUUAAAAGAGAAAUCGAAGAGCAACAUGAACUGUUCUACAAAACUGCCCUGCACAAACUGCAUAGUUAUAGGAAAAUACAAACUAGAAAGGGUAAUUUUAUUAAAAUCUAAAAUAUGGUACACGUAGCUGUGUUUAUUCAGCCUAACAUCUAGUUUCUUUCCACUUUCUGUCAGUUUUUAAGGUUGUGUUUUUUUCCAUGUAAUUAUGGUGAUCAAUCAAAGAAAGACAUAAAAUAGUUAACCAAACUAUGAUAUGUUGUAAAAAUACCUUUGUGUUAUUAUUUUUUAUGACAUUAAAGGCAACCAAUCCAAGAUGAAAACAACUCCAAACAUUUAAAAGAAACACAAAAUCCACACCAGAAAAGUGAACAACUAGGCAACAUAAAAGUGUAUGAUGAAACAAAAUGAACAAAAAGCUAAACAAUAAUUGAGGCAAGAAUAGAAUCACGAAGCCAAUUGAGGCAAGGUUGGGCAAUAAAGAACCUUAGCACCUUAGCAACAUCAAUUCUUCCACAUACAAAAAGGUCACGUCUAAGUACCAUAUACUUGAGCAUAAAAAAAAAGAAGGAAAAGUAUCUAUUGUUAUAGCAACAAUAAGAGUUUCAUAUCCACAAUUAGAAUUAUCAAUAAGGGAAGAUUGGUUAGGCUAAAGACUUAGAUUUCAAGAGUGACGACUCAUAACAAACCAUGUGAUAGUCAACUCUCUACUGUUUAUAAAAUCAAAGGAAAUUAGGUGUUGAUUUUUUACGACAAGCACAUGUUGAUUUAACAGAAUUUAGAAACAUCGAGAAAUCAAAACAAUAUGACAAGCACAUGUUGAUUUAACAGAAUUUAGAAACAUCGAGAAAUCAAAACAAUAUGUCAGAGAAAAAAAUAACAGAGAGAGAAAUCUUACUUCAAAGAACUAAGGGUGUUUGGAUGGAAUGUUGCUGAGGCUUGGGGGUGUUGCUAGGAUUUUAGAUCCGGAGAUGCAAGUUGAAGAAUGAAGAUUGAAAGGCUAGGUGUGGCGUGUGGGAGUUUGGGUGGGAGUGGUUGGUUUGCUAGAUAUGGUGCUGACUGAUGAAGAUUAUGGAAUGAAAUGAACUAAUGAAGAUUGAAGAACGAAGAAUUGGGUGUGGACUUGUGAAUGUUGUAAUGGGAAGUUGUGAGGAUUGAGGAGGUGUGGCGUGUCUAUGUCUCUAAAUGGAGGGGGGACUGCUAAGGUUAUUGGGUUAGAAUAAAAAUCUUUUUUUUUAUAAUACCUUUUUUUUUAAUCUGAACUAGUUCGAUUCGGUUAGGGUUUAUCGGUUUCAGCAUUACAAAACCGAACCAAACCGGAAGUUUUUCUAAAUAUUCUAAUUGGUUUUUUUUCAUGGUUUGGUUUUUUUUCAUGGUUCGGUUUUUUAGGUUAUUUUUUUUUGUUUUCUCAGUUUAAUUGGUUUUUCAGUUUUUUUACUCACCCCUAAUUGCAUAUCAAAAAAUUUAAGAUCAACCAUUCUUAUUUCAACGUUGUUGAGAGAAAUUGAAGAGCUAACCUAAAUGGAUGAUUAAAAACUCAAAGAAGAAGUCAAAAAAUAUUAGAAAUGCAACUCCUGCAUCUUAUUCUCUUCUUACUCAAAGUUCAACCAACUUAGAAGAAGAUGAUGUUGUAUUUGGUGAAAACGACAAUAUAAAGAGAUCGAUAGAUAGUAGAAUUGGCUUAAGUUAAGGGCCACUUGAGCAAUGGCCCAAGACCCCCACUUAAUAAAAGCUCUAAGAAUAAGUAAGAGAUAUUUAUCAAUUAUGCUUUAUAAAUGAAGAUUGCUCCACUUAACAAAAGACCAUAAAUACAAAAUAAAGAUUGUCUAAGGCCUUACUUUGUCUAAGGCCUCCAUUCACUUUAAAUUAGCUCUGAUAGGUAGAUAGGCAACAACAAAAAACAAUUUUAAAAAAAACAAGGGUAGCAUAAGUUCUCAUAUUUGAUUGAUCUUAGAGGAUUAUAAAGAACAUGAAAUGAAAACGGAAUGUAAGAAGAUAAAAAAAAAAAGCAUAUGCUUUGGAGGAAAAUAAAGUAAUGACAAAAUAUAAAAAGGCAAAGUCAGAAUGAGACAAGAUUGUUAUUAUGCAAGAAAUUUUAUUGCAAUAACAACAAGAAAAGGAGAAAAUAAUAUUGACAGAUACGACAUACAUGCCUUGACAUUUGGUUGAAUAUCAUAAGAUGCAUCUAAUGAAGAUAUUAGUUAAACGAUGUAAUAAUAAUAUGAAAUAACAUAAACUAGAAUAUAAUAAAUAUCCUAAAAUGGAAAGGGGGAUGGGAACAAUGAUUUUAUUGUAGCACAAGACACAUUUCAUUGUGGAUUACAAAAUGAAAUUACUAUUUUGCCUCUCAUUCAAAUAACAAGUGGUCUUGGUUAUGAGAGUAUCAGGGUCUUUUGUUUUAUAAGAACAGUGAAAAUACUAAAAUUCCAUUGGAGAUAGAAAAUUAUAUGCCUUUAGUCCAAGGGUAUUAUCAAUUUUUUAUGUUUUAUAUUAUGUUUAGAUUACUAAAAUACCCUUUAAGUCAACAAAAUCAAAGCUUUCGGUCUAGGGAUAUUUAUGUCUUUUCAAGUUUUUUUUUCUGUUUUAUCAAAAGCAUUAUUGUGUUUUACCAUAAUUAUAUAAUAUUAAAUUUCAAAAAGUUGUUGGUGCUAGCGUGAGAGGCACCCCCACACUUUGGGCAGUGUGUGCAGCACCUCCUGAUGGUUGAGCCUGUACAUCCAUAGUGUGUUUAGAUGCUUCUUUUCGUCCUCUUUCAGGCGGUACGUCAUUGAUAGUUGGAUAGUUUGUCGCCGGUGAACUUUUCUUCUUCUUUUUUUCCUCUCUCCUCCCCCCAAAAAUUAAGUCUGGUCUUCUUUAAUUUUGAUAUUUGUGCUUUGGUCAUUCUUCUUUUGAUUUCUUAUUUGUAUCCCUAACUCUUUUAUAAGAGCUUAUUCAAUUUAGUUCUUCAAUUCAAAUUUGUAAUAUAUUAUACUUUUAAUUUGGUCUUUAAUUAUUUUAUUUUUGAUUUUUUUAAUUGACCCCUUUUAAAAUGUUUUUUUUUUAAUUUUAUCCUUCAAUCUAAGUUUAUUUUGUGUUACUAUUUUCAAUUUGGUCCUUAAUUUUUAUUUUUUUAAUUUGUUUUGUUGGAUUUAUUUUUCUUUAAUUUAACCCUCUAAAUGAAAAUUUAUGUCCUUUUUUCUUUUAAUUUAUUUUUUGUCUUUUUUUCUUUUGUACAAGUGUUAUUUCUUUUCAAUUUAGUCUUUCAAUUUCAAUUUUUCAUAUAUUCCUUUUUUUAUGUGGUCUUUAUUCUUUGGAUCUCUUUUUUUUUUAACCCAUUUAUAAAAGUUUUAUUGAUUUUUAAUCUCACCUUUCAGUCCAAGUUUAUGGUAUGUUAUUUUUUUAAUUUUUUCCUCAUUCUUUUAUUUUUUUUCUUUUUGUUUAAAUUAUUUUUAUUAUUAAUUUAACCCUCCAAUCAAACAAAUUUAGUUGUCCUCUAAUUUAUUUUUAAUUUUAAUUUCCAUCAUCAUUCUUUUAAUUACUAUUUUUUAUAUAUAUCCAUUUGUGUAGUUAUUAUUUUUCUGUGUUUGUUGUCUUGAUCCAAUUUUUUUAUUCCUUUUUUACCCAUCUAAUUUUGUGCUUUUGUUUUAUUUCUAGGGUAUCAUGAUUUUAAUUAAAAAAAUUAUCUAAUUAAUAUCAUUAUCUUUUUUAUUGUCUAAUAAAAUAAAAUUAAUUUAUUAAUUUCAGUCGGUCGGUCGGUGUUAUAAAUCAAAUCAUUAAUAAAAUUAUCUAAUUAAUAUCAUCAAACAUCGUAUUUUUGCUGAAAAUAUACGAGAUUAAUAGUAUGGUUGUUAAUAGUCUUAGGCUGUGGAUGCUGUAAAUACAAGUCACCAAGGAAACCUAGUAAGCCUAGUAAGCAAUAUUUUUCAACACUCAAACUAUAUAAAAGACCCAAGAGAGAUUAAUCCUUCUAUGUUUUCUGCUUCAAGAAAGGAUUUUGUUUCCCUUGUUUUAGUUUUAUUUGGACACAAAAACCUGACGUUAAGCUGCAAACUCGAGUUAACAACAACAAGAAUUUCUUAAAAAGAAAAGCCCUUUUUGAGAUUUGAAAAUCGGAGAAAGAUAGAUAGAUAUACAAGUAAUAAAAUUACCCUGCUGUCUUGCAACUGAUAAUAAACUACACUACCUUACUUUUCGCUUCCCAAAGAAAAUUUCAGCUCCCCAAAGGUUUUAUAACAGGUAAGAAAACACCUCUCCUGUUUAUUCUGUCGAGAAAAUCGAGGGUUUUUUUUUUAGAGGGAUAGUAUAAAAUAUUAUACCUUUCUUGGAGUGUCGUGAUCUUGUUGCCGUCAAAUUAUUGUCUCCGAGACAACAGUCUUUAGUUCUUCACUUGUUCUACUUUUGUUGUAUUGUUUCUUACAGACAUGCCUGAAAAAGGAGAUAGCCAAUCAUGGAUUUUUCACCGUUCAAACUUUGUGCUCCAAUGGCGUCUUCAUGUACUAGCAGCCUUUGUUUUCCUCGGCUUGGUGGUUAUUGGGAGCAUAGAUGGGGGUACCAUUAGAAGCAUCGUCGAAUCAAGAAGGUCCACGAAGCAAUAUUCGACCAUGAAACCUCACACACAACACCCUCUCACAAAUAUAACCCAGCAACAAGAAACCCUUCGAAAUUUCUCUGCAAUCACAAAAAAUGGCACCACCAAUACCCCAUUAGCCCAAGAGAGCAACGACAAGAAACCUCACACACAACACCCUCUCACAAAUCUAACCCAGCAACAAGAAACCCUUCAGAAUUUCUCUACAAUCACAAAAAAUGGCACCACCAAUAACCCAUUAGCCCAAGAGAGCAACGACAAUGAUACCAGGGUCCCACCUAGUUCUAACAUAGUACUGAAAAACAACGAGAAUGUUUCUUUUGCUCAGAAAUAUUCAGAUGGAGUUUUGGAGAAUUUAGCCUCACGAAGGAAUGGAUCAGAUGGUAGUGUGAAGUGGGUGUC
rnacentral:lncRNA from 1 species